rnacentral:lncRNA from 1 species
GCGAGUGAUAAGUGCCAAAGAGAGAAAAGGAAGACCAUUAAUGGAGAUGAUUUGCUUUGGGCAAUGACCACUUUAGGAUUCGAAGAUUACAUCGAACCCCUGAAGGUUUACCUCAUGAGAUAUAGAGAGGUAUGAUCCACUUCUCCUUAUUCAGUUUCUAUUUGAACAAAUGGGGUAGUAAAAGACACCAGUGAAUUUUUUGAUGUUUUUAGUUAUGUGGCAUUGAUAGUACUAGGCAUCAAUAGAAUUUCUGCAAUUCAUUCACUGACACUCUUUUUUUUUUUUUCCUUUUCUUAUUUCUUUUAUCCGAUAUGGAUUGGAAUUUUGCAGAUGGAGGUCAGUGAAUCUCCUCUUUUACUUACCUCUCUAAUUUUUGUCUUUUUAUCUUAUCACAAUCUUUCUGAUAGUCCAGUUUUAUAUGUGGCUCCUUUUUUGGGGCAUAUAUUGUCUGAUUGCAUCUAAGUAGGAUUGUCUGGUUACGUCAUUAUCUGUUUGAUAGGGUGACACUAAGGGAUCAGGAAAAGGCGCGGAACCGAGUGCUAAAAGAGAUGGUCAGCCAAGUCAAGUGGCUCAGGUAAUGAUGACUCUCGAUCUUCUCAAGUUGACAUGUUCAUUUUUUG